rnacentral:rRNA from 1 species
CAGCAGCCGCGGGAAUACGAAGGGUGCAAGCGUUAAUCGGAAUUACUGGGCGUAAAGCGUGCGUAGGCGGUGAGUUAAGUCUGCUGUGAAAUCCCCGGGCUCAACCUGGGAACGGCAGUGGAUACUGGCUCGCUAGAGUGUGUCAGAGGAUGGUGGAAUUCCCGGUGUAGCGGUGAAAUGCGUAGAGAUCGGGAGGAACAUCAGUGGCGAAGGCGGCCAUCUGGGACAACACUGACGCUGAGGCACGAAAGCGUGGGGAGCAAACAGGAUUAGAUACCCGGGUAGUCCCUGUCUCUUAUAC